UACGAAGGGGGCUAGCGUUGCUCGGAAUUACUGGGCGUAAAGGGCGCGUAGGCGGAUAGUUUAGUCAGAGGUGAAAGCCCAGGGCUCAACCUUGGAACUGCCUUUGAUACUGGGGAUCUCGAGUCCGGAAGAGGUUGGUGGAACUGCGAGUGUAGAGGUGAAAUUCGUAGAUAUUCGCAAGAACACCAGUGGCGAAGGCGGCCAACUGGUCCGGUACUGACGCUGAGGUGCGAAAGCGUGGGGAGCAAACAGG
rnacentral:rRNA from 1 species